UGAGGAAUAUUGGUCAAUGGGCGCAAGCCUGACCCAGCAACGCCGCGUGAAGGAAGAAGGCUUUCGGGUUGUAAACUUCUUUUCUCAGGGACGAAGCAAGUGACGGUACCUGAGGAAUAGGCCACGGCUAACUACGUGCCAGCAGCCGCGGUAAUACGUAGGUGGCAAGCGUUAUCCGGAUUUACUGGGUGUAAAGGGCGUGUAGGCGGGACUGCAAGUCAGAUGUGAAAACCACGGGCUCAACCUGUGGCCUGCAUUUGAAACUGUAGUUCUUGAGUACUGGAGAGGCAGACGGAAUUCCUAGUGUAGCGGUGAAAUGCGUAGAUAUUAGGAGGAACACCAGUGGCGAAGGCGGUCUGCUGGACAGCAACUGACGCUGAGGCGCGAAAGCGUGGGGAGCAAACAGGAUUAGAUACCC
rnacentral:rRNA from 1 species